UACGUAGGGGGCGAGCGUUGUCCGGAUUUAUUGGGCGUAAAGAGCUCGUAGGCGGUUUGGCAAGUCGGGUGUGAAAACUCCGGGCUCAACUCGGAGACGCCACUCGAUACUGCCAUGACUCGAGUCCGGUAGGGGAGUGCGGAAUUCCUGGUGUAGCGGUGAAAUGCGCAGAUAUCAGGAGGAACACCAAUGGCGAAGGCAGCUCGCUGGGACGUGACUGACGCUGAGACGCGAAAGCGUGGGGAGCAAACAGG
rnacentral:rRNA from 1 species